ACAACAACAUUCGGACCGUCGGUCUACCGAGUAAUAUCACCCGCUCGGUGGAAGAUCUUCCCUUUGUCGUAUAUC
rnacentral:pre_miRNA from 1 species